CUUCACCGUCACAUCCCCUACCUCUUCAUAUCUUAAAUCAUUCUUGAGGCAGAUUGAAGAAUUAAGUGCCAGCUUAAGUGAAAAAUUAAAGAAAACGUACUAAGUAAUUGCAACACAAACACUGACUUAAUCAGUUUUAAUGCAAAAAGAUGCAGACGAAAGAAGAAAAGAAGUGGGCUGCUAGGGUGGAGUAAAGAAGAGCUGCUCCGGAAGCAGCAAGCGCAUCAACCUCUGAGCAAAUGAAUGCUAAACGUACAGAGAAAGAGGAUGAAAACUAGGAAUGCUCACGUCAAGUGUAUUCACUGCACGUUAUCGUGCAGGGUGCCGUUACUGGUUAUAUAAUAAAACACCAAGGCCUGUGUGUUCAGGCCUCCUGAGCAAUCUGAUUGGUCAGUUUGGCUUUGGUGUGAUUGGUCGGUUUAGCUUUGUCGAUGUGAUGAAAGAGGAAAUGCAAGUGUGAGACGCACAAGGUGGCUUCAUGGCAACAUGCUUGAGCAAGAGUGCGUCAGUGAAGAGACGUUCACACCUGCAAAUACAGAGGAAAGGCGCUAAAGGUGCACGUAGGGCAAGAAGUAGCAAAUAUUUGUUAUAUUUUUCUGUUACCUGCCUUCGAUGGGUACCAUGGCUAGCAAUUUAAUAAGUGAAAUUUAUAUAGAAAAAAUAUAAGAAAUUAAAAAGAAUGACUGAGGAAGCAAUGAUCUAAUUCAAGUUCAUUUAACAUUCUGGUGAUCUGCCCUCAUUAAUGUGACAAAAUGAAAACAGAAAUACAUUGUGUAAAUACAUGAGAGACUCUAUUAACAGCUAUAAAGAGAGCAUGCUGGCCUGCCAGGACCCAAGUUUGGGACCCCCGUGGUCAGACUGUCGGGCACUUCACUCUGUGUGACAGUCCAUGGGCUCCAAUGGGAUUUUUCCGUUAUUUCGAUAUAGUGUUGCUUGUAUACACCAUCUGUUGGACUGAAAAAUGCAAUGCAUUUUAUUAAUAUACAUGACAAACAGUAUUAAAAUGGGAAUGCACUGGAGGGAGCUUUGUUGAACUCACUUCAGUUAGAUGACACUUCUGUACUUAGAACUAAGCUCUCUGACUAGCCCAGCUAUACAUUAUUUUUUUUGCAAUCUGAAUUUUUAAGUGAAUAUUCUGUUACAACGUGGACCUUCCUCUGCUUCCUUGGUUAAUGCAAGAACAACUUCAUGUUUUAUUAAACAAAUACAUCGCCUGGUAUAUCUGGUCCAGAUUUUCACCUGUAUAUUUUUAAUCCCCAAACCCCCCGCGCCCAACUACACACACACACACACCACCACCACCAUAUUCCCCAGGCUGCAACUCCUGAUCAUUUUCACAUAUGGCUGUCUACAGCAUGGUGUAAAUGUCCACAGCUUAGCUCAAAUAAGAUAGGGAAUAUUUUGCAUACAUAAGAGACAGAGACUGUGACAUAGGUGCUAAUGAAAUGAGCUAAGGCAAAAAAAAAAAAUCACUCCUGUUUUGGGAAACAACUGUUUAACACACACAGUAAAUUGUGUGAUUCUUUGGGCUGCAAAAUCAGGUCUGUCACUUUCUGAUGUCGUUAUCUUUUCAGUAUGCAUAUACUGGGUUUGUGUAGGUAUAUAUAUAUAUAUAUAUUUUUCUCCACCACAGGCUCACAGAAUACUAAAGUGUGCAAGAAAAAAACUAAUCUAGGGUGAGAUAUCUAAUUCCCUAAGUGUUCACAUGUAAAGACAGCUAUUGUCAAUGACACCAGGCCUAUUCACCUCCUGAGAAAUAUCACACAGAUAUGCAGAGAAUGUGUCCACUCCACACAUUCAGCGAUCAGACUUUAAUCAAACCCACCUCAAAAAAGAUGCAGCAACGGCUCUAACUGCGAUGCCACCUUUCCAUCUUGUACAUUUAUUUUUGGUUAGGUGAACAUUGAUCCAAAGCAUCUAUUCAUUUUCCGAUCCUGCACAUCUACUG